rnacentral:ncRNA from 1 species
AACUGUUUAAUAAAAACAUAGUUUUUUGAUUAUAAUAAAAAAUGUUUACUGCUCAAUGAUUUAGAAUAUUAAAUAGCUGCAGUAUUUUGACUGUACAAAGGUAGCAUAAUAAAUUGUUUGUUAAUUAUAAACUGGAAUGAAUGUAUAAAUGAAAUUUAAGCUGUC